rnacentral:rRNA from 1 species
UACGUAGGGAGCGAGCGUUGUCCGAAGUUACUGGGCGUAAAGCGCGCGUAGGCGGUUGCUUAAGUUAGAUGUGAAAUCCUGGAGCCCAACUCCAGAACUGCAUCUAAAACUGGGCGACUUGAGGACGGAAGAGGGCAGUGGAAUUCCUGGUGUAGCGGUGAAAUGCGUAGAUAUCAGGAGGAACACCCGUGGCGAAGGCGGCUGCCUGGUCCGUAACUGACGCUGAGGUGCGAAAGCCAGGGGAGCGAAC